UCCUUAUGACAUGGAUGUUUUCUUUAUUGUUAUUAUUGGCAAUGUUUAACAUUUAAUUUUAAUAGUGUUUCCAGUCUAACAAAGAGAUAUGGAUAUAUUUAUGGACAAGUUUCACACAGUAUCAUCACAUUUACAUUUUCUUAAGAGUGUAUUAUCGUGUUUGGUGGCAGUUGCCAUUAAAUACUCCUGACAAGUCAUUUGAAACAUAUAAAUCUACAAAAACAAUAUCUCUGUUGAGGAAUAAACUUAUGCUGCCCCCUCCAGGAAUAUCAGAGGAAACACAUUUUUAACCUUCUGCACUGUAUUUCUUAGUGCAAAUCUAAGAUUAUGAGAAAUAAUAAAGCAAAAAUUAUCUGAAUAAAGUUGUAACAUUAAAGUAUUUGAACUUGAACAUUUUGAGAAUACAAUGGAAAUUUGUCAUACUGGUAUUUAUUCACUCAUCUAUUGUUAAAAUUUGCAUUUUUUCUAAAAAAUUUCAAAUAAUAUAAAUCGUUCAGUUAUACACACUUGCAAAUUUAUAUAGCAAAAGAAUAUAUCGAAAUAAGUUAGUUUUAAGCUAUCUGAUCAUACAAUUUGUAAAGAAAUUGAUAUUUUAAUGAAUAUAUUCAUAGAAAACCUUAGAUAUUGCACUAGUGACAAUUCAUCAUAAAAUCUCUAUCCAGCAUCCUUUAGACCAGGAGUGGGGAACCCUGGGUCCUGGAGGGGCACUGUCCUGCAGAGUUUAGUUCCAACCCUAAUCAAACACACACAGCAAAAUCACCAGUGUUAAAUUUUCAGGGAUGGUGUUAAAUACACAGUGUUGAUGCUGUUUUAACACUAUCUGGUAAUAAAAUAACACUGCCAUUGCUAGGCCAGUGUUAUAUUCACAACAGUGUCAGUGUUAAACAAGGGUGUUAUCAGAUUUCACUCUGAGCGGUGUAAAUCAAGCCACGCCUCCACUAAACAUAUCCUGUCAGGGAUUUUACCGCCAUUUUCUUUCAGAGGAGAACUGAAGAGAUCAGAUGCUAGUUUGGUGAAAGUUCACACUCAGUGCUUCAAAUCAUUCAGACGAGAUGCUGUUUUUAGGGCAGUUUAUUAAAGAAGACCUGACAUGGAUGACUUCCAAUGAGAAACGACUGCUAAUACUUAUAUAAAUUCAUUACAGAAGGACCCUACCUGACUAUAUUUGAAUACGGCAUACCCAUGAAUUCUGGAACUGUUAUUCCUUAACCCAGUUUGGAGGAUAAGAGCUUACCAACUAGUUAUAAAUAUGCUGAGGUGAUGUAUUGCAAAAUAGCCAACAUACAACAAUAUGGAUGACCCUCUGUCUGGUCAACAGGAGUUUAAAUAUGGACGGGACAGUGAUGUGGCAGCUCUUCCCUGGCUCAUUCACCUCUUGCCUUCAUUUGUGAAAGGAAGAAAGAAGAAAGACUGGAGAGGGUCAAUGUGCAACUGAAGCUACUGAUUGUGCUAUGUGAUGAGCAUCAAUCCAUGCUUUGAGGGGGGAUGAAUCAGCACAGCCCUGCCUGCACUGCGUUGGGAACAGAAGUUGCAUCCAGAAUUUUUGCAUCAUUCUGGACCAAAAAGCCAUUCCCUCCAUGAUGAAGACCACUGAUGCAGCCUUCCACUACAUCAUGAGUAAAACAACUACAGAACUAAAUACCAGGUUGGAACGUAUUUAAGAAAAAUGAAAUGUCUUUUGAAUUGAAAUGUCUGUUUUGUUAUGGAAAAAUCUUUAGUAUUGUGAAGGAUAAGCAUUUCUGCCUGCCAGUAAGGUAAUUGCAGUGUAUUUUAAUGUUCAAGUUUUGAG